AUUGAACGCUGGCGGCAGGCCUAACACAUGCAAGUCGAACGAGUGGCGGACGGGUGAGUAAUAUCUGGGAAACGGCCCGCUGGCGGGGGAUAACUACUGGAAACGGUAGCUAAUACCGCAUACCAUCGGAUGAUCCCAGGUGGGAUUAGCUAGUAGGUGGGGUAAUGGCUCACCUAGGCGAGGAUCCCUAGCUGGUCUUAGAGGAUGACCAGCAACACUGGAACGUAGACACGGUCCAGACUCCUACGGGAGGCAGCAGUGGGGAAUAUUGCACAAUGGGCGCAAGCCUGAUGCAGCCAUGCCGCGUGUAUGAAGAAGGCCUUCGGGUUGUAAAGUACUUUCAGCGGGGAGGCGUUACUCGCAGAAGAAGCGCCGGCUAACUCCGUGCCAGCAGCCGCGGUAAUAC
rnacentral:rRNA from 1 species